GGGGAGGACGAGCGGGGAUAAAGCCGCCGCCGCCAAACACCCGGACCCAGCCGAAGAGGCUCUCCUCUCAGCCUGCGACGGAAACUCCGGAAGAUCUGGCAGACAUGGGCAACAAGGAUGUGUGGCUCUGUAGACGGAGGAGGAUGUACUGGACUUCCACAGCUCCAGUUAUUUGGAUCACUCACUCUUGAGGGAAGCCUGCUGCCAUGUCAUUAGGACACCCAAGGAUCCCUUUGAGAGGUCAAAGUGAAGAACUAAGGCUGCCAGCAAACAACCAGCACUAACCUGCCAGGUAUACGCACUUUGGAAGUGAAUCCUCCAGCCCAUCGAGCAUUAGAAGACUGCAAUCUUAUGGUAAACCCCAAGACUGACCACCCAGCCAAGCUACUCCUGAAUUCCUGGCUCUUAGAAAUUACAUGAGAAACUCCAGGUAACAAGAGACACUCUCCAGUCACAGACCCGCAGCGCCCUAGCGCGCACGCGCAGACUGCAGUGGUUGUAUCCC